GGGUUGUGAGGUUAAGCGACUAAGCGUACACGGUGGAUGCCCUGGCAGUCAGAGGCGAUGAAGGACGUGCUAAUCUGCGAUAAGCGUCGGUAAGGUGAUAUGAACCGUUAUAACCGGCGAUUUCCGAAUGGGGAAACCCAGUGCAAUUCGUUGCACUAUCGUUAAGUGAAUACAUAGCUUAACGAAGCGAACCGGGGGAACUGAAACAUCUAAGUACCCCGAGGAAAAGAAAUCAACCGAGAUUCCCCCAGUAGCGGCGAGCGAACGGGGAGCAGCCCAGAGUCUGAAUCAGCGCGUGUGUUAGUGGAACGGUCUGGAAAGUCCGGCGGUACAGGGUGAUAGCCCCGUACACUAAAAUGCACACGUUGUGAACUCGAAGAGUAGGGCGGGACACGUGGUAUCCUGUCUGAAUAUGGGGGGACCAUCCUCCAAGGCUAAAUACUCCUGACUGACCGAUAGUGAACCA
rnacentral:rRNA from 1 species